CAGCAGCCACGGGAAUACGGAGGGUGCAAGCGUUAAUCGGAAUUACUGGGCGUAAAGCGCACGCAGGCGGUCUGACAAGUCAGAUGUGAAAUCCCCGGGCUUAACCUGGGAACUGCAUUUGAAACUGUCAGGCUGGAGUCUUGUAGAGGGGGGUAGAAUUCCAGGUGUAGCGGUGAAAUGCGUAGAGAUCUGGAGGAAUACCGGUGGCGAAGGCGGCCCCCUGGACAAAGACUGACGCUCAGGUGCGAAAGCGUGGGGAGCAAACAGGAUUAGAUACCCCCGUAGUCCUGUCUCUUAUACA
rnacentral:rRNA from 1 species